UGGAAGGAGGGGGCAGCCACAGAGGAUAUCUGAGAGGCACAGUGAGACUCUGGGAGAGUUUGAGAGCCAGAGCUCUCCCCAGGAGGCAGCAGGCCUGAGGCCAGCCACUCAGUGUGGGAAGGGGCAAGGGAAACUGGCUAUUUCCCCAUCACUGACAGGCUGUAUAGGGAGGAGGAUAUUCCUAUACUGAGCCCAAAGUCACCAAGACGCUUAAUGCCAAAGUGUUUCAGGAAAAGUCAUAGCAGCCCUUAGAGAAGGCAAAAGGGGAUAAUCACAAAAUAGCAGAACAUUUUGAACAUUGGCCAGGAAGAGGCAAAAGCAGCAGCCAGCUGACUACAGCUGGGAACGGGCAGCUAUUUUUAACAGUACAGAAUGCAGUAGAGAUCAAGCAGAACUUUCCAGCUUAGCUGCAGGAUAUCCGGCAGCUUCCAGUCUCACCUCUAGGAAUCCUAGGACUACCAUGCUGUGAAGAAGCUUGGAAAAAAAAAGACCGGGUAUUGACAAGGCUUAGGUGUCCUGGCCUCCCAGCCAUUCCAGCUGAAAGCCCCAAACAUGUGAGAUUCCACCUUCAA